rnacentral:rRNA from 1 species
GAAUUUUGGACAUUGGGCGAAAGCCUGAUCCAGCAAUGCCGCGUGCAGGAUGAAGGCCUUCGGGUUGUAAACUGCUUUUGUACGGAACGAAAAGCUUUGGGUUAAUACACUGGAGUCAUUACGGUACCGCAAGAAUAAGCACCGGACAACUACGUGACAGCAGCCGCGGUAAUACGUAGGGUGCAAGCGGUACUCUGAAUUAUUGGGCGUAAAGCGUGCGCAGGCGGUUUUGUAAGACAGAGGUGAAAUCCCCGGGCUCAACCUGGGAACUGCCUUUGUGACUGCAAGGCUAGAGUACGGCAGAGGGGGGUGGAAUUCCGCGUGUAGCAGUGAAAUGCGUAGAUAUGCGGAGGAACACCGAUGGCGAAGGCAACCCCCUGGGCCUGUACUGACGCUCAUGCACGAAAGCGUGGGGAGCAAACA